rnacentral:rRNA from 1 species
UAGAGUUUGAUCAUGGCUCAGAUUGAACGCUGGCGGCAGGCUUAACACAUGCAAGUCGAGCGGGCGAGGUUGCUUCGGUAACUGAGCUAGCGGCGGACGGGUGAGUAAUGCUUAGGAAUCUGCCUAUUAGUGGGGGACAACAUUCCGAAAGGGAUGCUAAUACCGCAUACGUCCUACGGGAGAAAGCAGGGGCUCUUUAUGACCUUGCGCUAAUAGAUGAGCCUAAGUCGGAUUAGCUAGUUGGUGGGGUAAAGGCCCACCAAGGCGACGAUCCGUAGCUGGUCUGAGAGGAUGAUCAGCCACACUGGAACUGAGACACGGUCCAGACUCCUACGGGAGGCAGCAGUGGGGAAUUUUGGACAAUGGGGGAAAUCCUGAUCCAGCAAUGCCGCGUGAGUGAUGAAGGCCUUCGGGUUGUAAAGCUCUUUUAUCAGGGAAGAUGAUGACGGUACCUGAUGAAUAAGCUCCGGCUAACUUCGUGCCAGCAGCCGCGGUAAU